rnacentral:rRNA from 1 species
UACGUAGGGGGCAAGCGUUGUCCGGAUUUAUUGGGCGUAAAGAGCGUGUAGGCGGCCAGACAGGUCCGUUGUGAAAACUAGAGGCUUAACCUCUAGACGUCGAUGGAAACCGUUUGGCUAGAGUCCGGAAGAGGAGAAUGAAAUUCCUGGUGUAGCGGUGAAAUGCGCAGAUAUCAGGAAGAACACCCGUGGCUAAGGCGGUUCUCUAGUACGGUACUGACGCUGAGACGCGAAAGCGUGGGGAGCGAACAGG